AGUGAACGCUGGCGGUAGGCCUAACACAUGCAAGUCGAACGGCAGCACAGUAAGAGCUUGCUCUUACGGGUGGCGAGUGGCGGACGGGUGAGGAAUACAUCGGAAUCUACUUUUUCUUGGGGGAUAACGUAGGGAAACUUACGCUAAUACCGCAUACGACCUACGGGUGAAAGCAGUGGAUCUUCGCACCUUGCGCGAUUGAAUGAGCCGAUGUCGGAUUAGCUAGUUGGCGGGGUAAAGGCCCACCAAGGCGACGAUCCGUAGCUGGUCUGAGAGGAUGAUCAGCCACACUGGAACUGAGACACGGUCCAGACUCCUACGGGAGGCAGCAGUGGGGAAUAUUGGACAAUGGGCGCAAGCCUGAUCCAGCAAUACCGCGUGGGUGAAGAAGGCCUUCGGGUUGUAAAGCCCUUUUGUUGGGAAAGAAAAGCAGCAGGUUAAUACCCCGCUGUUCUGACGGUACCCAAAGAAUAAGCACCGGCUAACUUCGUG
rnacentral:rRNA from 1 species